UAAACCUUUGAAUGGCUCGAAAUGUUGUGA
rnacentral:piRNA from 1 species